AUCAGUAAGUAGAGGUCAAACUCUCAUACUUUUUGCAGAUGGCAUGAUACUCUAUGUCGAAAAACCAGAAGACUCCAACCCAAAAUUGUUAGAGCUCAUAUGGGAAUUUAGUAAAGUGAUAGGAUAUAAAAAUCAAUGCACAGAAAUCCGUUGCAUUUCUAUACACUAAAAAUGAGGCAGAAGAAAGAGACAUUAAGGAGUCAAUCUUAUUUAAGGUUGCACCCAAAACCAUAAGAUACCUAGG